GUGCUCACUUCGGCAGCACAUACACUAAAAUUGGAACCAUACAGAGAUUAGCAUGGCCCCUGUGCAAGGAUGACACACAAAUCUGUGAAGUGUUCCAUAUUUUU
rnacentral:snRNA from 1 species